UCUGGUGACCGGAGCGGGGCGGAACCACCCGUUCUCAUCCCGAACACGGAAGUGAAACGUCCCAGCGCCGACGAUACUGUUCUGGUAACGGAAUGGGACAAUAGGUCGUCGCCAGGA
rnacentral:rRNA from 1 species